rnacentral:rRNA from 1 species
GUGAAGCUGGAUUCGCUAGUAAUCGCGCAUCAGCCACGGCGCGGUGAAUACGUUCCCGGGCCUUGUACACACCGCCCGUCAAGCCAUGGAAGCCGGGAGUGCCUGAAGUGCGUGAGCGCAAGCAGCGCCCUAAGGUAAAACCGGUGACUGGGGCUAAGUCGUAACAAGGUAUC